UGUGCAACAUUUAAGCAGAAACUGAAUAUAAUAUUUAUAGCUAUGUUACUAUGUAACUUUGAAUAAACAUUCUAGCUGAACACUGGAUGGCACGUUUCUCUUUUUUGCCUUUAUUAAUUAUUUGACUUUUGAAUUUCUUGCUCACACAACGGUAUGGAAAGCUGACCCAGCACUGACUUACAGGAACUGGGGCUUUUAAGGGAAAUGAACUUAAGCCACCUGAAGGAUGACAUGAGGAGUAAUGAGCAGUUACUGGAAGCACUUGAAUUUCAAGAAUUUCCGUCUGCUCUGCUCUGAGCCCGGUCUCCAACCCUGUUGGCCUUGUUUCCCUGCCCUCGAUCUCCUCAUAGGACAUGUCCACACUUUGUGAAAAUACUCGCUAUCUUCAUCUUGUUGGUGCUGCUGCUGCCCGGCGUCCAAACUCCGCGGGGUCCCUUUAGAGAACCGGGACCGAUGGACCGAGCAGGCCUCUGCAGUGUCCCUCGAGAUCCUUCACAGAGCUGUGGAACCAGGACCACAGGGAGCACCCCAGCCGGCCGGAGACAGCGGACCAGGAGCGCAGACCAGAGAAACCGAGAUAAGGAGGACGAGUGCACGGGGCUCCGCCAGGCGAUGGAGAGAUGACCGAGGCAGAGAGCAGAGCUGAGCCCGGUGGAGGGUGAAGGAGUGGCUGAGGCUACCAGGAGCUGUGUGUGUCUGUGUGUGUGUGUGUGUGUGUGUGUGUGUGUGUUGUUGUUUACAUCAAAUCAUAAUCAGGGUCACUAAAUAAAGCUGUUAAAUAAAUGUCAGGGAUGCACACUGUACAUUAUGUAAAAAAAUAUAUCAUUCUGAUAAUCAUUCUUAUUUUUUUCUAUAAUUCUAUACAAAAAUGUUUGCUAUAUUUUUAUAUAUAUAUGUGUGUGUGUUGUGUAUGUAUGUAUGUAUGUAAGUGUGUUUUGUAGAUCGUGAUAGAAAACAAUGAACCUGUGUAGAGUCAGCACUGCUGUAUGUUUCUGUUGUGUUUACUAUAAUGAUGUGGUGUCAUUUAGAUUUGGUUACAGAGAUAUCGACACAUCUCAGCCUGUCUUACCCUCAGGUGUGCAUAAACUACAGGUUACUUAAAAUACAAAAAAGUGACAUUAUCGCUUAUUUAUUGGUGGAGAGAAGCAGCUAAUCAUUAGUUAUCAAUAUCAGAAUCAGAAUUAUGUUUAUUGCCAAGUAGGUUUUUACACCUACGAGGAAUGUGUCCUGUGCAUUGGUGCAUAAAAUAUACAAAUAUACAAAUCACAGAAAAAGAAAGUACUUUCAAAAUAUAAAUCAAUAAAGAUAAGAAAGAUAAGAAAAGACAACUGUGCA